rnacentral:tRNA from 1 species
GGUAGGGUACCGAAGUGGCCAAACGGGGCAGACUGUAAAUCUGCUGGAUUAUUCCUUCAGUGGUUCGAGUCCACUCCCUACCACCA